rnacentral:rRNA from 1 species
GACGAACGCUGGCGGCGUGCUUAACACAUGCAAGUCGAACGGAAAGGCCCUGCUUUUGUGGGGUGCUCGAGUGGCGAACGGGUGAGUAACACGUGAGUAACCUGCCCUUGACUUUGGGAUAACUUCAGGAAACUGGGGCUAAUACCGGAUAGGAGCUCCUGCUGCAUGGUGGGGGUUGGAAAGUUUCGGCGGUUGGGGAUGGACUCGCGGCUUAUCAGCUUGUUGGUGGAGUAGUGGCUUACCAAGGCUUUGACGGAUAGCCGGCCUGAGAGGGUGACCGGCCACAUUGGGACUGAGAUACGGACCAGACUCCUACGGGAGGCAGCAGUGGGGAAUAUUGCACAAUAGGCGGAAGCCUGAUGCAGCAACGCCGCGUGCGGGAUGACGGCCUUCGGGUUGUAAACCGCUUUCGCCUGUGACGAAGCGUGAGUGACGGUAAUGGGUAAAGAAGCACCGGCUAACUACGUG